CUUCAUUUUAGCAAUGCUGAGAAUCUUAGAUUUACCUUUAGCAGUUUAAUGUAUGCAUCAGUGAAAUUGACUGCCUCUGUGUAUUUCCUCAUCCACUUUUAAAGGUGAGUUUAGGAAUUAAUAGGAUUAAGAGUAAGACUUCCAAAAGCAUUAAUAUCUUAUGAAAAACAAAAUCAGUUUAUUGAGAAAAUAUAAGCCUAAUGAAUAGAGGUGAUAUUAUAGUUCUAGCCAAUAUUCUGAAUCUGGAUAUUGCUCAAAUGUUUAUUAAAAAUGUUAAUGUCGAAGAGAUUAGUUAUAGGCUCAACUAACAAUUCAUUAAAUAACCUGAGUCCAAUUUUUAUGGACUAUUUAAAAAUACCUACCUUGAGACUUCCUGUAACUCACAAUAGAUGAUGUGUAUUUGGAAGUAUGCAAAAAAAUUGAUAGGGUGGCGUGCUGGAGCUGGCUCUUCUGGCUCACGAGAGCCUAUUGUGCACACCUCUUUCCAGCUCCCCAUUCAGUGACGUCAUAUUGGGAGUUUGCAAUUGGCUGUGCUGGAAGUAUUUAUAUCAUAGAAAUUAACAGAUGCUAGAAAGCAGAACUUUUUCUGUUCUCUGAAGAUCCUGGUUUACCAGUACACAACUGGGAACAAACCUGUAAUUGACUGAAGAAUUCAUUCGAUCUGGGGGAAAUGAGGACUCUAAAUAGCAAUCUGUUAGAUUUUAAUAGGAAAGUAGUUGUUAUUCUUUGCAUGCAUCCUUUGCAUUCUUUGUUGCAUCUGCCCAAUUACAGUGAGGGUUGCAAGGCUUCACCCUAUGCCUUCCCUGUGUUGUUUAGGAGUUCAGUGGCUGAGCAUGGUAGUUGAGGAGGAGGGUGGCUAGAAAGAACACUUUUGGAAAGCCCUUUUGAAGGUUAAUUUUUGGUUAAAAUAAAUACUUUCUGUAUUUAUUUUUGCAUGCAUGAUGUUGGCGAUUGUAAUUUAUUUUUUGUUUUUUCAUGCUGGGAAUUGUCUUAGGUGGGAUUCCCCAGAAGCAGACCCCAAGACAGAGAUUUGUAUGCAAGUCAUUUUUUAAGAAAGUUUUCCCAGGAGAAGCUGGUUAGAGAGUAAGAGAAGCAAGUAGGAAGGAGCCAAGCCAGGUGGGAUUUCAGGUGACUUCUUAGCUUCACCCUAAUCCAUUGGGGAGCCCUGGGGCCUAAGUUAUAUGGCGGUCUUGGUCCUGCCUCACUGCAUGGCAGGCUUUCCCGCACUUCAGUGAUCAGCCACUGGCUAUGGGCUGCUCAGGGGGCCAUAAACUCCCAGGUCCCUCCAGCUCUCUGCACAUCUAGUUGAAGCAGCUCCAGUAGCCCAGAGAUAGUCUUCUGAAGAAGACUGCACACAGAGAUGGGCCAAAGGACCUUGGCCAACAGAAGUCCAUGUGAGCCUGGCAGGGGAAAGUGUGGACAUCCAGGACAGAGCUUGGCUACAUAGCAGCCCCCAGUUCUGACUGUGCAAAAUUUGAAAUGACAGAUUGCUGGACAUUGAGUCCAGAUGUCACAGCCUUGGUGUUGAAGCAGAAGGGGAUAGCAGACCCAGGACUAGACUUCAGAGAAAUCUUAUGGAUGGUCACCCUAGCUGGAACAAUGCUCCAUAGCACUAUAUUCUUUUUAAGAAGCAGGUUUUGUGUGAUGCUGAGCUUUUGACACAGUGUUUAAGUGUGUCAUCCAAAGUCUUGAGAAUCUGUGACUGCCACAAGCAUCAGCGUUUGGCAUCAUUGAGAAACUCUCAGAAAGCAGGCUGGUUCUGGAGUGGAGCAGAGAGGAGGCUGAGAAGCAAAGCACAGACAAUGGUGGAGCUGAGGGCUGAUCCAGUGUGGAGGGCAGGGACCCAGAGGUAGUUCUGAGUUAGUGGCAGUUGACUGGAAGCAGUUGAUGGGCAGGGCGGCAGGUAGAACCCAAGACAGUUAGAACAAGCCAUUUCCACAGCAGCUGGCUCUUUAUUAGCUGGAAAGUGCAGCAGGCCACAGCCAAGGCUUAUGUGGAGGGAAGGUCAUACAAAUAUUGGACUGUUGACUCUUCCAGACGCUUUGUGCUUUAAAAUUUCCCAUCCACAACUUUGGUGUUGCAAAGUCCUGAGAAUGUGGAGGGCUGGAGGGGCCAGAGCACUCCUGCCUUGGUGGCAGGUGUGGGAGGAAGUUUGCUCUGGAGGGGCAGCAAGCAGGACAGGGAUGGGCCAUUACUGGGCUCUCAGCAUUUCUCAGUUGGGGUGUAGCUACUGCCUUUCUUGGUGGUUUUUCUGACUCCAAUCUGCUCUCCACAAAGCAGCUAGAAUUAAAACAACAAAAAGCAGUCUGUCCUGGCAUUCCUUAUUAAAGCUCUGUAAUGUCCUCUUAGUUCUGCCCUGAUCCGCCUCUCCACAACCCUUGUCUCCAGCAUGGUGUGCUGCCCUGGGGCCUGGGAUCACCUCUUGUCCCUGCCUCAGACCUCACAGUCUGCUUUCUCAUUCUGGACGCUUUUCCUUCCUCUCCCUGAGACUUGGGCCGUCUCGCCCUUCCUCUGGGUCCAGCAAGACCACCGCCUCCUUAGAGGUUUUCUUGUCUGACAGGGCCUCCCUGUGAAGCUCUGUCUGUGCGUCCUGUUAAUUCACUCAUGGUUCUCAUCACCAAGCGUGAUGUUUGUUUGCCCCAAGUCUGUUUCCAUAGCGGAGGUGGCCAUCACAUUGGUUCCUCACAAGCACUUAGCACACAGUGUGUGCAGCACCUGUCGAUGAGUGAACACGUGGACUCUAGUUUGUUUUCUACAACCUACCCUGUGUUCUGCCAGAAGACUCCACUUGUGUGUUAGUCUCUUGCUUAAAAGUCUUGGUAGCUUUGAUUUUUAUAGGCUUGAAUCUACAGCGUCUCAGUCAGGCUUUCGAGGAAUGCAGGCAAUUCUUACCACUGUGGCCCAGGUGGGUAGCAUCUGCACUGUCCCCCAAACAAGCCAACUUUUUCUGGAUCAUGUUCUCUGGCCAUGCCUUUUCCACACUGGACUCCCCUCUCUUCCCUCGACAAGCCUUUUGCUUCCAAACCUUGCCCUCUGAUUUCUCUUCCUCUGAAUUAUUUUCAGGAUUUAUUUUGAGACUUAACUUUUGUGACUCGAUCAUAUACCUUUUAUUCAUAAUUAUUUUUAUGAGUGUCUGUACGUCUGUUUUCCUGCAAAUACUUUAUGUUCUUAAAGGGCAGAGACUAUGGAUUUUGUACUUUUCACAGUGCCUUGCAGGCAUUUCUUAACUUGAAUUAAUUUAGGAAAACAAAAAAAUAAUAAAAUAUGUGAUUCCUGCUAGAAUGUAAGCACAAGUGAUUGCAUGAGGGCAGUGAUUUUUUUUAAACUGCUUUGAUCACUCUUAUGUUUCUGGAGCCUUGAGUAGUGCCUGGCAUGUUAAUAAAUAUUAGUUUAAUGAGUUAAUCUUUUAAAAUAUGAUGGGGAAAAUAUCCUUAUUCCAUGAAGCUUUCAUAUUUUCUAAUAAUAAAAAAAUCAACAUGGAAGUAAUGCUCCUGACUUGUCCUAGUGAGUAGUUUUGCGUUAUUUGGAUGUUAGCCAUAAUUUAUCUGCUGAUUUCUACCAUAUUGAAUUCAGCAAGUUAUCUGCUAACAGGAUUGAUUUGCCAUUUCAUCAAAGAAGUCAAUGAAAAGGUCGUAUUUGAAUUAUAGAAAUUUACAAGGAAACAUUUCAGGGACACAGUCCUUGGGGAAAGUGGCAUAUAGUUAGCACAAUUUGGAGCAAGGGGCAGUGGGUUAUGUGAGGUGGAGCUCUGGUCUGAGUCAGGAGACAUGUCCCAGGCUGAGUUUUGGGGUUUUCUGUGGCUUUGGACCAGGAACUUAACUUCUUUGGCACUUGCUUGUCUCAUAAACAUGAGGGAGUUAUAUUAGGUUUCCUGUAGUUUUAACCUUGGGGGGCUACCUCGUGUAUCUUCUAACUAGUUCCCUCAGAUGCUGAUUUUGUUCUGUCAGCUCCCAAACUGUAUUUGCUGUGAUGCAACACACUGCUUACCAAGGAAUUCCUUGCAACUGGGGUUGAUGCAUUUUUUUGUAAAUGUUUAAGAACAGGUUUGGUGCCACAUCUUGUGCCCCAAAACUGCCCAGUGAAGUGGAAAAAGCCCUGGUUCUCAAGUAAGAGACCCAAGUCAAGUGUAAGUCUCCAUUUUCGUAAGUUUGAUAACUGAGGCUUGGCCAUUUCACUUUACUUUCCCGAGUGGUAAAUGGGGGUGAUCUCAUCAGUUUCUUCUGCCUUAGAGGCUUUUGUGGGGAUCAAAUGAGGUUAUGUAUGGGAGAGUGCUUUUAUAAAAUGCAAAUAGUUACAUGGAUAAAGGUCCUAUGUUUAAUAAUUUAAUAUAUAAAUGGUAUGCUCUCAAAUCAUCUUCUCGAAUGUUUUAUCUGAAGUAUUUUCAAACCCACUCAGUUUUCUUUCCUGUCUCACUUCUCAAAAUCCCCUCAGCUUGCUGUCUUGUCAGGGAAAAAAAAGAAUGGAAAAUUUUCUAAAUCCUGAUUACCUGCUGCCUUUAGCAGACCCCUUGGGUUUGAAGCUGGAAGGGCUCAAUUCCUCCUAGUUAGAAGAGGUCAUGGUCAAUGAAUACUUGCUAAGUGAUGAUUUGACUGCUAACUUUCAGGUGCCCUCCCUGAAACACAGACCCCAGAGAAGAGGCUUGCUUUUUGAACAGAAAUAAAACCAAAUCCUGUAUUUCUAUGUAUAACCAGAA
ensembl:lncRNA